rnacentral:lncRNA from 1 species
UUACAAAGUAAUUUUGAGGGAAUUAAUGGUAAAGUCGGUGGAAGGAAUGAGGAAGGACAUUGACUAGCAUCUGUUCCUGGAUUAAAUGGGAUGUUGGAUGAAGCUCAAAUCUCAAGAAGAGGCAAGACAAGACUAAAGAAGGAGCUAAGAGAAAUCACUCCCGAUCCGUUUAUAUUAUGAAGCCUUAGGUAAAUACCACUCCAACACUUUCAGGAUAUAUCACAUUCCUCUCUGCUUUUAUUUUUUUUUUUGUAAAUCAUGUCUAUCUCUACAAUAUUAAAAUUCUCCAGAGCAUUCUGUUUGUUCUAGGGGCAAGAAGGUGGUGGAGAUGCUGUGAGCCUGCCCUGCAUUCUCGUCUGGGCCCCAUAAAAGAGGACGAAUGGAGGGACACCUAGGGGAUGGGCUCGAUUCUGAAGCUGAUGGGUGAGAGAAAGGGCGCUGAAUGGGAAUUCACUUGGGGUACGCAUCACAUCCAAGCGUGCAUUUGGAUAAAGCCUUUACCUCAACAGGCUCUUGUGCCAUCCUUACCAGGUAACAUGCAAAGCAAAAUAAAGCCAAUUCACAGUCAGCCUAUUAUUUCCAUCGAUUUCUGGAACAGUGAAAUGAGAC